rnacentral:rRNA from 1 species
GUACACGCUGUGACUAGCAUAUCAAUAAGCGGAGGAAAAGAAACUAACAAGGAUUCCCCUAGUAACGGCGAGUGAAGCGGGAAGAGCUCAAAUUUGAAAUCUUAAAGGGUUUCCCUUUACGAAUUGUAGUUUAAAGAAGUGUUUUCUGUUGAGGUUUUGGUAAAAGUUCUUUGGAAUAGGACAUCAUAGAGGGUGAGAAUCCCGUAUUUGACCUUUACUUUCAACUUUGUGAUACACCUUCAAAGAGUCGGAUUGUCUGGGAAUGCAGUCCAAAAUGGGUGGUAAAUUUCAUCUAAAGCUAAAUAUUGGCGAGAGACCGAUAGCGAACAAGUACCGUGAGGGAAAGAUGAAAAGAACUUUGAAAAGAGAGUUAAACAGUACGUGAAAUUGUCAAAAGGGAAGCGUUUGACACCAGUGUUGUUUUUCUGAAAAUCAAUUAAAGAACUGUUUAUGCUAAGCUGUUUAGACUUUAUCAGCUAUCUGUUUAGUUUUGAGCUUUUCUUUAAUGCACUUUUCAGUUAACAAGUCAACAUCAAUUUCUUUUGCUGUAAAAAAGCUUGAGGAAGGUGGCUUGAGAUUCGUCUUAAGUGUUUAUAGCCUCUUGCCUAUGCAGUCGGAGAGAUUGAGGUCUGCAGCGUAGAUCCUUCGGGGCUAAAUGCAUUUGUGCUAAGUUAUAGCAUUUUAUAGACAACUUGUUGACUAUGAUUUGUCUUGUAGCUUACUCGCUUAUGUUAUUUUACCUACGCUUAGGAUGUUGAAGAUGUAGCACAUCAU